GGCGGCCCUGAGCGUCCUAAGGCCUUGAUGGCCGCGUGGCCAGCGCCCCUCAGCACCGCCAAGGCGCCUGCGGGCUUAAGCGCGGCGCAGCAGGUGACGGCUCUGCAGCGGCUGCUGGAGCUGCACAGCGCGGCCAGGCGGCGGCGCCGCCGGCGGGACCGUGAGCAGCAGCGGCUCCGGGUGUGUCCCCACGCCGGGAUCGGGGCCUGCCUGGAGCGGGCGGGGCACCGAGGGGCGGCCGGACGCUGACUGCCGCCUCUGCAGGUCCUGGAACGCCUCCACAUCGCCAGGAACCGCCACUGCCGGGAUCACCCCGUGGGGCUCCCGCCCAGUCCGGCUCAACUCCCGCCACAGGCAAGACCCCUAGAAGGAGGUGGGGCCACAAGGAGCCUGCGCGGGGCAGGGGCCGAGCUUGGCGCGCCCGGGUCCCUUUGAAGUGAGCGCACUGCACUCUGGCAGUGACUCGGCGGGGCGCGAGGGGCAGGUGUGCCAGGUGCUGCCCCGCCCGCCCCACUGAGCCGCGGACGCUCAGCGCUCUGCACCACCAGGAGGACGCGGCUGGGCGGCGGCGCGCCCUGCGGGAGCAGCUGGAGCAAAUGCAUCGGGAGAGGACCGAGCGGCUGCGGGCCCUCGGGGCCAGGAACACCCAGAACUUCCUGGAACUACUGUGUUCCCCUGGUGCUGAGGAUCCCGUGCCUGCGAAGUAGUGCUCGCCUUUCCCAGCCCCCUCUGGUCAUUGCUGGGUCCUCAAAGGGAUGAUUAAAGAGAUGAGGGUUACGGAAAAAGCAAGAGGGCAACUUGCAGGUCAGAUAGUUUCAGAAAGGCCUGAAUGCAACCUCAGGGACAGGGAGAGCAGAGGGGCACAGACACACACAGCAGCUUUGCCCCACCAGGAGGCCUGUUAUUUCUUCUUCCCUCCCCUAAGCCCACACCUGGCCCACGGUCAGAGGGCCAGGUCUCGGGGAUCAAGCAGUGCGAAGGCCCCGUUCUUGCGGAAGAAUGACUCAAUGCGGCACAUCUUGCAGGAGACCAGUUCUUGCUUCACUGGGGGGCCUGGGAAAAGAUGUCAGAGGCCAAGCAUGGGUUCCUGAGGGAGGGACACGCAGAGCAUGGGAGCCCUGUCUGUCUGCACAGCCCUAGGAAUCCGUCAGUGGAGUAGCCACUUUGUGGGAAGAAAUAGAAAGUGCUUUGGAGGAAUGGGAGCUAUGGGCAAAUACUGGGAGCUGGCUGGAUGCCAGGAUACAGCAGCCAUCUGCCAUCUGCCAUCAUUACCCUAGCUUCAGGAUCCUCUACCUGCAGGGAGGGGGGCCACCCUAGCCUGCUUGUCACAGGGACAGACUGUGGAGAGAUGAGAUUUCCUUCGGCCUCCUGCUCCCCCCUUCUAGGGCUCGCCUCCUGCUUUUGUUAGAAAGUUAUUUCCCUGACUUCCCCUUUAGGGGCCUGGGGGAAAGGGAUGUUUGGGGGCAAAAUCUCAACUGAGUCAAUCCCCAACCAUCCACCUUUUCUGCAAGACACUCAAGCAGCUGGAGAAGGGUACAGGGCUGAGGAGUCUCACUUGACAUUCAUGAGCACAGACAGCAAUGGGAUGUGCAGCAACAUCGCCCAGCAGCCCUGCCUGGCACAUGCCUGUUCCACACCUUUCCUCUUCAUCUCUAGUUACUCCACUGCCUCAGCUCAGCUCCCUCCCCGCUGAUGGCCUUGACUCAACCUCACAGAAAAAAGACUCAGCCGAGAUGGACAGGCUUCCUGCCAAUGACAUCCCCUACCCCCUCUGGCUCAGCCCUCCUGCCCCCACUCCCAUCAGAUUCCAGCAACUUGAGCUCCCUAGAUCUCAUGGAUUUAAAUAGCACCUAUAGGCCGGGCGGUGGCUCAUGCCUGUAAUCCCAGCACUUUGGGAGGCCGAGACAGGCAGAUUACGAGGUCAGCAGUUCGAGACCAGCCUGGCCAAUAUGGUGAAACCCUGUCUCUACUAAAAAAACAAAAAUUAGCUGGGCGUGGUGACACACGCCUGUAGUCCCAGCUACUUGGGAGGCUGAGGCAGAAGAAUCUCUUGAACCUGGGAGGCAGAGGUUGCAGUGAGCCAAGAUCGUGCCACUGCAUUCCAGCCUGGGUGACAGAGUCAGACUGUUUCAAAAAGAAAAAGAAAAAAAAAAAGCACCUAUAUUCAAAUGACCUCCGAAUUUGCAUCUUCAGCUCUGACUUUAAUCCAGACUUAUAGACACAGCCACCCUACAGACACUUCAAGCAUAACAUAGCCAAACACACAUGGCUAAAUAGGACCUGUUCAUGCACGCUCCAGCCCUGACCUCUCCCAGUCUUCCCUGUCACUGCAGCUUUAGCUAAACACCUGGGUGAUUGAUCUCUCUUCCCCUUAUUCUCACAUUCUAUCCAUGGGUGAGUUCCACCGAGUCUUCCCCCAAAACAUCCUGAAUUGAUUUCAGCUCUAUUGCUGAUCCCUCAGGCCACUACCACAGGGUAACAAAACAGAUGCCCAACUCAUGUGCCAGAUUCUACCAUUUCCCCUGAAAAAGCCACUGCCUACAUACAGGUCAGGGUGACUUUUUAAAAGGUUCACCAGUGUCACUCUUGAAAUCUGCUUAGAACCCUCCAUCAGCUUCCCUGCACAACAAAUAAAAUCCAAACCCAUCCUUAUCAUCUGGCUCUCAGCCUCGGGUCCUCAGAAAGGCCUUUCCUGACAAUCCAAUAAAUAGCAGCACAUGGCCGCUGCCUCCCUGCCCACCGCCACUCCCUAGUUCUGUGGAACGUGUCGACACUUCUUGGCCAUCUCCUUGCUCUGUUUAUGGUCUGGACCCUUCACCAGGAUGCCCACUCCCUAGCACAUGGCUAGUGCUCUGUUUUUGAGGUGAUUUCCAAGAGGUUGGGCUCACCCAGCUGCCAGCCAUACGUGAAGCUGGUGGUGACGGGGAAGAGGUAUCGCGUCUCUGGCAUGUCCAGUUUUCGAGUGUUGAGGUAGCGGUAGCGCCCCUGGAAGUCGUGGGAGAUGCCUUCAUACAGCAGGGCUCGGGUGAUAGGUGGUACCGGGUACAUUUCCGACUGAAAAGGCGCCUCUGGGACAGGGCUGGGCACCUUGGAAGGGGCUGACUUG
rnacentral:lncRNA from 1 species